UCCCUGGUAGUAUAUCGGUUAGUACACGCGCCUGUCAUCCACAUCAUAGACGUGUCUACGCGCGAAAGCUGGGUUCGACUCCCAGCCAGGGAG